CAAUAGCGUAUAUUAAAGUUGUUGCGGUAAAAAAGCUCGUAGUUGGAUUUCUACCGAAGAUAGCCGGUCGGGUCUUCGACCUUGUAUCUGGUUUUGUCUUUGGUAUCCUCAUAGGGAACGUUUCUGCGCUUUAUUGCGUGGUGCGGUAUCUAUGACUUUUACUUUGAGGAAAUUAGAGUGUUCACGGCAGGCAAACGCCUUGAAUAUAUUAGCAUGGAAUAAUAACAUAGGAUCUUCGUCCUAUUUUGUUGGUUUCUAGGGCUAAGAUAAUGAUUAAUAGGGAUAAUGGGGGGCAUCUGUAUCAACGCGUCAGAGGUGGAAUUCUUGGAUUGCGUUGCGACAAACUACUGCGAAAGCAUUUGCCAAGGAUGUUUUCAUUGA
rnacentral:rRNA from 1 species